rnacentral:rRNA from 1 species
UACGAAGGGGACUAGCGUUGUUCGGAAUUACUGGGCGUAAAGCGCACGUAGGCGGAUUUGUUAGUCAGGGGUGAAAUCCCGGGGCUCAACCUCGGAACUGCCUUUGAUACUGCAAGUCUCGAGUCCGAUAGAGGUGGGUGGAAUUCCUAGUGUAGAGGUGAAAAUUCGUAGAUAUUAGGAAGAACACCGGUGGCGAAGGCGGCCCACUGGAUCGGUACUGACGCUGAGGUGCGAAAGCGUGGGGAGCAAACAGG